rnacentral:rRNA from 1 species
AGCGAACGCUGGCGGCAGGCCUAACACAUGCAAGUCGAACGAAGUCUUCGGACUUAGUGGCGGACGGGUGAGUAACACGUGGGAACGUGCCUUUAGGUUCGGAAUAACUCAGGGAAACUUGUGCUAAUACCGAAUGUGCCCUUCGGGGGAAAGAUUUAUCGCCUUUAGAGCGGCCCGCGUCUGAUUAGCUAGUUGGUGGGGUAAUGGCCCACCAAGGCUACGAUCAGUAGCUGGUCUGAGAGGAUGACCAGCCACAUUGGGACUGAGACGCGGCCCAAACUCCUACGGGAGGCAGCAGUGGGAAAUCUUGCGCAAUGGGCGAAAGCCUGACGCAGCCAUGCCGCGUGGAUGAUGAAGGUCUUAGGAUUGUAAAAUCCUUUCACCGGUGAAGAUAAUGACUGUAGCCGGAGAAGAAGCCCCGGCUAACUUCGUGCCAGCCGCCGCCGUAACAC